rnacentral:lncRNA from 1 species
GUAUCCUUUGUUUCACUACCUAAGACUGGUCAUCUCUGAUGGAAUUUAGCGGCCUGGGUCUGGUUUAUUGAUGAUAAUACGGUGUAAAAAUAUUACUUUUUUUUGUCUUGAAGAGAAGGGGCUUCAUUUAUAUGGGGUUAUUUUGCUUGCAAUGAUGUCGUAAUUUGCGUCUUACUCUGUUCUCAGCGACAGUUGCCUGCUGUCAGUAAGCUGGUACAGAAGGUUGACGAAAAUUCUUACUGAGCAAGAAAUAACCUUGUUGUAAUUACUAAAAUUUGAGAAAUGUGAUUCUUGACUGGAAAAAUAG